UCCCUGGUGGUCUGGCAGUUAGGACUCAGCACUUUUACUGCUGGGGCCUGGGUUCAAUCCCUGGUCUCGGAA
rnacentral:tRNA from 1 species